GGGCGUGCGCCCGAGCCGUCGACCGCCCCGUUUCCCCCGUGGAAAGUUGCCUUUCUCGCCGAUCCCCCCCCCCCGCCCUCUCGAUCUCCGCUUCCCUCCGUCUCAGACCGACCCCGGCUUUCGACCGAGGGAGAGAAAAAGAAGACGCCGUAGCCUCCCACCCGGCGGCGCGGCCCUCGCGGCCCGAGCCGGACCUCCGCUUCCCGGAUCCCGGAAAACCUCCCGUCCUCGGCCCGGUCCCGGCUUUCUCAUUUAUUCCCGCUCGGCGGGCGCCUCGUGGUGCUCGGGGAGGGCCCUCUUUUCAUUUCUCUAACCUCCGGGCGGCCGCGGCGUUCGGAUUACGCCGUCGGUCCGCCGGGGGUCCUCCCGGCCGCCUCCGCGGACCUCCGAGGGGAGCCCUUCUGAGCCACGCCCUCCGCGGACGUCGACGGCGGGGUGGCCCCGGGCGGGUCGCGGGACCCCCGACCCCGACGGGAGCGGAGACCGGGAGGUCCGUCUCGGGUUGUCGGCGACGAGAUUCCCGUCGGAAACGGCGCGCGCGUCGUCGCCGUUCUGUGUCUAGAGCCCGGACCCCAUCGUUUGUAUCCUUCUGAGCGUACAGGUAAUAAAUCACGUCGGCUCCGGCAGACCGGGUGAGA